UGUGUGUGUGUGUAUGAAUGAAUGUAUAUGUGUAUGAAUGUAUGUGUCUGUGUGCAUGUAUGUAUGAAUUUAUAUGUGUGUGUAUGUGUGCAUGUAUAGAUCCAACAUGACUGGGCCAAAACGCACAUGGCAGCAAGUCCCAGUAAAAUACAAGAACAUCCUGCAGACUGCUGUCAAAAAGAAAACCCACCAGCAGGGUACGGGUGCUGGGUCACCAACAGCUGACCUCACCUCAGCAGAGGACAUGGCUUUGGCCCAGAACAAAGGCAGGCCUGUGUUGGAGGGGAUCCCUGGGGGGACAGACCCAUACAUGUGUCCCUCCCAAGAUGCCACCUGCUUCAUACAAGUUUCUGGUGGCACCGUCACACUGUUGGACCCACCGACACCAGGGUCACCAACACAUACGUUAGACGAUGCUGAUCCAGUGAGUACUCCAUCAAAGGCAUACUGUAGGCUUGGCGUGGCUCGUUUACGAUCUUCAAUAAGAAUCCCAUUAAAUGUGAUGGGGUGAAGGCACCAGUGGAGCAGCAGCAGCAGCAGAUGAGGAGACCAGCUCUGUGGAUUCCA